AUUGAUGAUGAGGGCAUUGAAUGCACAAUAACUCAAAUCUUUCCCAAUACUCAACGAGUGUUUCUCCAUGAGAUUGUCGAUUCCCACAUAUUUCUUUCCUUAUGUU
rnacentral:snoRNA from 1 species